UCAUGAAUAACUCCCCAAAUUUUAUUAAUCAAUAAAAUUUACAGAUAAUUACAGUAACAUAUAAUUACAUAUAUUUACAUUAUCAUAUAAUAACAUGAAUUCAUAAUUACAUACAAGAACAAAUAACUAGUGCAAAAUGCAAAGUACACAAUACAACCCAAAAUCUUAACGUCUUACCAUGAGUACUGCAGAUAAGAGGUGACUCUGGACUCUAGGUAGAUCUAACUAAUCACCCGGUAUGAGGUCUGUUGGGCUCCCCAAUGGUGUCUCUAGUACCUUUGCCAAUAUAUGGUCCAUUGUUCACUUCGUUCCAAUCUUAAGGAGCAUAUCAAGUUUUCAGAUUUUGCUAUGGUCUCUUGGGUACCAUAUAAACUUCCUCUUAGAUCAACACAUUUUCCCCCAGUCUCAGAAAGCAAUUUCCCACUAACAUCCGCGCAGUUAUGUAGGUAAAGCUCUAAAAGGUGAAAAUUGGGGAUGAAAGUAAGGAUAUGAGAAGCACAGGCCUUGAAGAUCUUGGACAUGGAAGUGAGUUAGCAGAUGGAAGCGACAUCUAGUUUCGUCAUUACGGUGGCCAAUAGAGCCGUCAGCAACUGAUCGAAGCCCUCUUAUUCUUCUUAUUCUUCUUUGGUUGCUUCACUGCUCGCCAUUUCUCUCUUU
rnacentral:misc_RNA from 1 species